GGUGGGGGGUGUAUUCAAUUGAAAGUUUUAGGUGAUUUGUGUCAAAAUGACAAAUUCACUGUUAUUGAAACAUGAAUUUUAAAAACCCAUUUAAAAUCCAGUGUUAUUGAACUUGACAUUUUUUAAAGUACUCUAAAAUCCAUUGUUAUUGAAAAUAUUUAAGUUGUGGAGUUUUAAAGUUUUCAAGUGAUUUUAGAGUGUUUGGAUGGAAUUUCUUAGUUAAAAAAAAAAAACAAAACUCAAAUCCCAUGAUUUUAGGUGAUAUUCUAGAGUGGUUUAACAAAAAUUAUUUUAUUCUCUGUAAUUCCUUAAAAUCAUCUAAAACUUCAUUAAAAAUCAAAUCACCUCAAAUUUUAGAUUGAAUACACCUCCUUAGUUAAAAGCUAUUUUUUUCUAAUUCAUAAUUACACUAAGAUACUUCCCUAAAAGACUGCAAUAAACAUGGCCUAAGAUGUUAUUAUUUCUCAGAUAAAAAAAAAAAUCUCAUAUUAUUCAUUAUAAUAUCAUUUAUUAAAAGUGUUAAAUUUUCUCCAACCACAAAAAAGAAAAAGUUAUAGUAGGACACAAGUGGAAGUGUCUUAUAUGACUUUCUUUGUCUCUUUCUUUUUCUUGGCAAUUGUUGCUUUUGGUUUCAAUGCUCAUGAGACAAAUAUUUCAUUCUUUUGAUACUAUUAAAUCCCAAAUAAAAAAAUAACAAAUUUUUUGGGUUCUAUUUAGUAAAUUAAAAUGGAAUUAAUGAAACACAAAUAAAUAGAAUGAUAGGAAUGGAUACAACAGCAAAAUAUAAUGAAUUUUAUUCCAUUCAUUCAUGAACAAAUUUGUUAUGAAAUAAUUUUCUUUGUAUUUUAUCUAAUUAGUUUUGGAAUUAGUAGAAUGAGCAUUCCAUUCCAGUCAUAUCAAAUGGUAGAAGAAAUAUAUGGAAUUAAUGGAUUCAACCAUUCUAGUCAUUCAAUUCUAAAAUAUUAAAAAUAUUGUAAUCUAGUUGCACUCUAAAAUUUAUUUUCUGGGUUCAAAUUUCAGUUGUGUAUUCAGUUCUUGUAAUUGUUUAAGUUAACCAAUUUAUUACACAUUGGCCUAAGUUUAUAUUCUUCCAUAGAAACGCUUGGAUGCGCUAGAUCCGAGUUUGACUCCAGAUGUUUGCACAUGCACACGAUUCAACUAAAUAAACAAAAAUACGGAAUAGUACACAUCGAUCGGAAUACACUGAAGUCGAUUUUGAUUUUUCAAAGUUGUCUGCUUCUAAGACCUAAAGCUAAAGUGUACGUCUUUUAUGGGCCUAGGCUUUAUCUAAUUGGGCUUAUCUCGUAAGGGAUAAAGAAGAUCUGUGAAGGAAAUUGGGGAGUGCUCGUGGAAGUUGCGUCCAGUUGUCACAUUUGCCUGAACAAAUCUUGAACGAAACGCAAUUGAAUCAGGUUUUCUUAAAAGUUGCCAGAGCUACCAAAGUUAUAUCUCUCCAAAGGAGAUAUAGUUGCUCAGGUUAUAGGGAAGUUUAGUAGAAAAUUUGCAUCCACUUUGGACAGAUUAUUCAUCUAUACUAUUAAAGCAGAAUCCCUACUAGGAUUCUGCCCUUAAUUUUUCAAGUUAUUUACAAAUGUAUGCCACUCCCUUAUUUAGAUUUUUUCUAAUUAUUUUUGCCUUAUUUAACAUCAAAUGAAAAAAGAAACAAAAUCAGUUAUGCUAUAAUUCUGAGGACAUUUAGGCAUACGUUGGAUAUUUACUUCCUUAAAAAAAUGCUAUAUUCACUAACCAUAAUAAAUUUACAUACUAAUCUAUUUAAUUAAGGCCUAUUAUUAUUGAAACGAUUUCAUUAGACCGUUUAACCAAAAAAAUCCAACCAAAAUGCCUUCGUUAACUUAUCUAACGAGUUUAAGGCCCAAUCUUAUUUUUUUAAACAAAAAUAUAUUUUAUAAUACUGAUUUUAUCAUCUAACCUAUAAUUUAUUUUCUAUCGUUUAUUUCAAAUUGUUAAAUACAAAUAAACAAUUAUGUAAAUAUUUAUAUUAUAUAGUACCUUAACAUAAAAUCAUUUAUUAUGUCAUUUUGUCCAUAAUAUUGAUAUAGCAAUUAUAAGUGUAAGAAUAUUUUAAAAUUAUUAUAAAAUUAAAUUUAAAUAUAAAAUAAAAAUACAAAUUAUAAUAGGUUAUUAAUAAAAAAUAAACUAAUAUUAUCAUAUCAAUAAACUAAUAUUGUCACAGCAAAAUCAUAAUUGGUUAAUAACAAGUUGUUGGGUUUUUACCAAGGUUUUCAAUCAGAUUUUAAUAAAAGAUUUUUUCAUUGAAUCCGAACAAGAUUAUAUACAUGGUUUCAUCUCGAUCGGUUCAACCACUGAUUUGGAUCAGAUAUGAAAAUAGUACUUGAACCUCAAACAUUAUAAUAAAUUAACAUUAAAUUAUUUAUUUUCUAAUAAAAUGUUGACAUAAAAAACUGGUGUACUUUCAAAAAUAUUAUUAGCUUCUAAAUCUAAUAAAGAUAAAAAAAAUAUUUGUAUAUUGAUGGUUAGAACUAUAAUACAAAUAUAUGACAAGAAAAACUCAUUUUCAGUGUAAAAUCGACAAUUUACAUCAUUACUCUAUAUAUAUAUACACUAUUAAAUCACACAUAUCAUCUUUAAAUCUAUUUCAAAAAAUACCAUAUUUUGAAAAAAAAUGAAAAUGAUAAAAGUUUAAAAAAUUUUAUUGUUAAGAUAUGAAAAGAAGAUAAUAUUAAUUUUUAAAUUAAUUUCAGUAAAUGAAAAACAAAAUCCGCGCUUUUCAAAGCGCGGGUCAAAACCUAGUAAUCUAUAUUAUAAUAGUUGAAUUUUUACUCACUCCUCAGCACGUCACGUCAGCAUUUUGUGAGUUCUAAUUUUUUAAAAAAUGUGAAAAACUGUCAAGUCCAUGGUUCGAACCCAGGUUUUUGAAACAUAUACACCAAAAUUUAUAUCACUAAGCUAAAUAAUAUUUUGUACAUUAAUGGCCGAACCUAAUAUAUAUUUAUGAAGGUCGUAAGCCCUUGCUUCUUCAGCUUCCUCUGAGGGUCGAAUCUACAAGUGUGUUACGGGUUUCAUUUUUAAAUGAGAUUCAUCAUGUUAUAUGAAAGCAGGUUCCAUUGUGAAAGCAGGUUUACUCCCGUCGGACAUGCUAAUCAUUACAUGCCAUCUUUGAAAGCAGGUUCCAUUGUGAAAGUCGAUUGUUUUGAGGUUGCUAGGUGCUCAAGCAUGUACAAGAUAACUGAUCAUCCAUUCCUUAUUUGUUUCAUCUCACUAACCAUUAUUGAUGAAGUCAUCACGGGUGCUCCUGAGAUCAAUCUCCAGUCAAAAUUAGACUGUUCGACAAUCUCCAAGUGAACACAAACCUAGAACUCCCAUAUGUGGUUGGGCAAAUCCGUUAUGUCCAGGGCUCUGACCUCACCAAAGAAACAACUCGAGUCGUUAUCCGUCUCCUCAUUGAUCCGUAAGAAACAAUCAACACAUAAUUCCCUUUAUAUUACUGUCUAUAUUGUUAUAACAUCAAUAAUAAAAAAUAUUUCAUACCCAAGAUUUGUGGUCGUCUAUCUAUCUAUGUCCCUUACUUAUCAAUCUAAUUUUACACGAAUUUUUAUUUUACAGCUUUAAAGAAACCACAAUAACCCAAACAAUCAAAACACCAAAAACUAGAAUCCCAAAAAGACGAAUCAUUAAUGAUCACCUUUCUUUUUGUCUAAUCUUACAAAUAAACUUCAAAACAAAUAUGCCAAACCAAUCAACUCAACUAAAACUCAAUGACACAUACAUUGAGUCAGUGAAACAAAUACAAACUACACGACCAGCUAUUUAACAAUUUACAAACUUACUUUCGCAGAUGCUUACGAAGAAGACGAAGACGCAACCAAGAUCAGUGAAAUUACCUAAACAAAAAAAUAGAGUAAGUUACAAACUCUGAUAAAUACAAUUAACAAUGAUUUUUGUUUACAUAUUAUCCAUCAAAUAAAAGAGAAACAAAAACAACCACACCAAGAGAUACAAGAGACAAUCCCAACAUACACAAAGGCGACAACAACAUCUCCACCUGUUCACUCCUCUUGUCUUAUGAAAAUAGCUUACAUGCUCAAUGCCAACAUGCCAAUGCUAUUGUCUUCUUAUGAGAAAUACAUAUAUUCGUUUAAAACCCAUUAACGCCCAAAUACUAAUUGUCACUCAUUUUAUAGUUAAUUCUACAAGUCUUCAUGUAUUUGUUUUAAAGAUCCGGUAAAAGCAACAAGUUAAAAAAAACAUAUAACCAACAUAAUAAGAAUAAAAAAAUUAUUACUUAAUACACACAACUUACAGAACUAAACUAGAGAAAAAAAAUCCAGAAAUAAAAGUUACUUUCAACAACAUUAAUAUAAUUUAUGUAAUCUCAACAGUACAAGUAACAAAUUUAAAAGACAAACAAACAAUAAGUUUCAAU